CCUACGGGUGGCAGCAGUGAGGAAUAUUGGUCAAUGGACGAGAGUCUGAACCAGCCAAGUAGCGUGAAGGAUGACUGCCCUAUGGGUUGUAAACUUCUUUUAUAUGGGAAUAAAAUGUUCCACGUGUGGGAUUUUGUAUGUACCAUAUGAAUAAGGAUCGGAUAACUCCGUGCCAGCAGCCGCGGUAAUACGGAGGAUCCGAGCGUUAUCCGGAUUUAUUGGGUUUAAAGGGAGCGUAGGUGGAUUGUUAAGUCAGUUGUGAAAGUUUGCGGCUCAACCGUAAAAUUGCAGUUGAAACUGGCAGUCUUGAGUACAGUAGAGGUGGGCGGAAUUCGUGGUGUAGCGGUGAAAUGCUUAGAGAUCACGAAGAACUCCGAUUGCGAAGGCAGUUCACUGGACUGCAACUGACACUGAGGCUCGAAAGUGUGGGUAUCAAACAGGAUUAGAUACCCCAGUAGUG
rnacentral:rRNA from 1 species